rnacentral:lncRNA from 1 species
CUGGAUGCUGCAGGUCCUUUGAAUGUUUCCUAGGACAGAACUUGCUGUCAGGUAGAGCAGUAUUGUCUCUUCCACCUGCAGACAUCGUAGAUCAGCUGGAGCAAGUGAAACACACAGUCUUUCUGCCUGCAAACAACCCACCAGAGAAGAUCCAGAAGUUAUGUGAAAAGAGUCAUUACAACAGUGCUGAGAAACUCAGAAGUGAAUACCAAUGCUGUGGGAGGACUCUGGGAAUCUUGGUACUUAUUGUACACAACAGAUUUAUACUUUAUAUACAUCUCACUUCACGUUUGUGUAGGAGAAUGGGGUUUUACCAUUAAUGAGGUAUGAUAUUUUUAUCUUACCAAAACCUGUUUUUUUGAGUAUAUCUCUCUCUAUAGCACUUAAUGCUGACAGAUAACCUAGAGAAAGACUAAAAUAUUGCUAUAUUUUCUUAUAGUACAAUGUAUUUCCUUAUUGUCAUGAUUCAGAAGUCCUUUCAGGUUUUCCACAAGGUGGAGCUAGUUCCUCAACAUUCACAAUUUCUGAUGCCAUUUGCCAAUAACAAGCAACUUGUGUUACAGCACAGUCCGGGCUUCCUCUGCUCCCAUAGAAGUAAUUAAACAAGCAUUGAAGCAAAGGUAUUGAACAACAGAGGUGUGGCUUCCAUGCCAUUCCUAUAGAAUUUAUAGGAUAUUCCUAAUAUUCCUAAUUCCAUGCUAUUCCUAUAGAAAUUGCUGAUCGUCUGAACAUAGAUAUGAGACACCCAUGGUAUCAGAUAUUUUGAACUUUAUUUCCUGUAUAGGCCAGUAUUCAUUUCUGUCACUCCUGCCUUAGCACUUACUCAGUGCAAUACCCAAAUAGCUGGUCUUGCUCAAAGCCCUAUGUAUGGCACAGGAGAUCUUCAAAGCCAACACAGAAAUAACAGGCUGUCUUCUCACCUAACCUCCUACUGACCACAUGCAGCACCCAGACCUGCCCACCUAGGCACACAAGUGUAUGUGUUCACUCACAUCAGAACAAGGAGACGACAUCUUGCUCUUUAUGCUGCCUUUAGUUUACUCUGUGAUUUGAUUGAUUUGAAUACAAAACACCAAAGACCAAACCCUUCACUGAAAAAUGAUUGUGGCUGUUUCCUUUGCACACAUUGAUUUCAAAUACUUACAGAGUACUAACAACUAUAAUGAAUUCUCUCAUCUAAAUUCAGUGUAUACCUAAGGGAAGCCAACUAAACCAGCAAGUUUGUAUUAGGCUGGUUGUUGGCUGCACUAGGCAAAGUAUCACAAACAGAGCAAAAGAGAGUGAUCCUUCCAUUCUGAUCAGCUUUGAUGAGGCUGCACC